GUUCAGCUCAGUGCUAUAACAUUCAGCUCGGUCUGAAUGUUAUAGGAUAAUGGGAAAUGCAUGAAUACUGCCUUCCAAAAACGAUAAAGCAAACCACUUUGUGGUCGUCUAUCUGGUGAUCCACUGGGGAAAUCAGUUCCUGAGCUGCUGCUGAACACUUUGGAGGAGCUGAAGAAAGGAGAUUUAAAUGGCACCAGAAUAAUGGUGUGCUGAUUACUUCAGUCACAUCCCAAAGGCCCAGUUGGAGCAUGCUGAGAGAGAACACUGUGGAUAUCAUGAUGCAGCCCUAUGGACUUGAGAAUGCUGGAGAUCCUCAGGAAGAUAAAUCUCAACAUUCUUGCCGAGGGACUACAAAUUGACAACCCAUCAGCAAUUACAGAGGAGACAGAUAAACCUCAAUCAGAGGAGAACACUGCUCCUGAACCUCUUCCACCAGAGGAGACAAAGCCUCCAAAACUGUCUCUCCCAGAGGAGGAUCUCUCCUGUCCUCUGUGCCAUGACAUCUCCAGGGAUCCUGUCAUCCUGCCAUGUAGUCACAGCGUUUGCAAGAACAGAGAGGACCUUGUUAGAAAGAGGACCUUGUUCUCCCUGUCUUCAGAUCCUGUGAUUCUGGACCCCAACACUGUCCAUCCAGAUCUCACAUUGUCUAAGGAUCUGAUCAGUGUGCGAGAGAGUGAAGAGACACAGAAGCUUCCUGACCACCCAGAGAGAUUUGAUUACUUUACAUGGAUCAUGGGUUGUGAUGGAGUUAACUCAGGGACACAUAGCUGGGAUGUUGAAGUUGUGCAAAAUACAAAUUGGUACCUGGGUGUGGUCACAGAGUCUGUGCAGAGGAAAGGAACCAUCGAGAGUGACUACUGGCGAUUCCGACACUUCGAUGGGUUGUGCCGUGGCGGAGAUCUUUCUGUCAGUCUGUUAUAUCUGGAGUAUUUCUCCUGUCUUAUCCGGUGUCCUGUGUGAAUUUAAGUAUGCUCUCUCUAAUUCUCUCUUUCUCUCUCUCGGAGGACCUGAGCCCUAGGACCAUGCCUCAGGACUACCUGGCAUGAUGACUCCUUGCUGUCCCCAGUCGACCUGGCCGUGCUGCGGCUCCAGUUUCAACUGUUCUGCCUGCGGCUAUAGAACCCUGACCUGUUCACCGGACGUGCUACCUGUCCCAGACUUGCUGUUAUCAACUCUCAAAAGCAGAAGCGGUAGAGAUACUCUCAAUGAUCGGCUAUGAAAAACCAACUGACAUUUACUCCUGAGGUGCUGACUUGUUGCACCCUCGACAACUACUGUGAUUAUUAUUAUUGUAUUUGUAUUUAUUUUUUUACCCCCAAUUUCGUGGUAUCCAAUUGUUUUUAGUAGUUACUAUCUUGUCUCAUCGCUACAACUCCCGUACGGGCUCGGGAGAGACGAAGGUCGAGAGUCAUGCGUCCUCCGAAACACAACCCAACCAAGCCGCACUGCGAUACAGCUAGCACUGCAAUGCAGUGCCUUAGACCACUGCGCCACCCGGGAGGCAGUGAUUAUUAUCUGACCCUGCUUGUCAUUUAUGAACAUUUGAACAUCUUGGCCAUGUUCUGUUAUAAUCUCCACCUGGCACAGCCAGAAGAGGACUGGCCACCCCACAUAGCCUGGUUCCUCUCUAGGUUUCUUCCUAGGUUUUGGCCUUUCUAGGGAGUUAUGCCACCAUGCUUCUACACCUGCAUUGCUUGCUGUUUGGGGUUUUAGGCUGGGUUUCUGUACAGCACUUUGAGAUAUCAGCUGAUGUAAGAAGGGCUAUAUAAAUUUGAUUUGAUUUAGCUGUAGUCUCCAUCCUCUGAGGAUCUUACCAAUGAAGGCCUCUGUGCAAAUCCAGCACAGUUAGUUAGAGAUGAUACGUAGUUGCGUUUCAGGUCUUCUUUAUUGCAGUUGUGUUGCACAAAUAAUCAGAUCUCACAACGCCUGGAAAAGUGUUUGUCGUAUGUAAAUGAGAUAGCAAUGCCCCUUGUCACUGUCUCAUUUCAGAUUCAUACCCUUUUAUGCAGAGGUCGAGAGUUGAAUUAUUUGUUCGAUUUUUGGGAACCAUCUUUUACUGUACUUAGAUAUUUCCAGUAAAAAAUUGCUAAAUAUUUACAUUAAGUCAAUAUGUAGGCUACUUAAAGUCCACAUGUUUCCUUUGAGUAGUCUUAUAGCAUUAUUAUCCUUGGGUGAUAUGUAAUAUAAUGAUAAUUAAGUUAUUAUAUGAAUGUAAUCUUCUAAUAAAUAAAAUAUUUAUUGAUCAAUCCAAA